rnacentral:rRNA from 1 species
CAGUCGCCGCGGGAAUACAGAGGGUGCGAGCGUUAAUCGGAUUUACUGGGCGUAAAGCGUGCGUAGGCGGCUUUUUAAGUCGGAUGUGAAAUCCCUGAGCUUAACUUAGGAAUUGCAUUCGAUACUGGGAAGCUAGAGUAUGGGAGAGGAUGGUAGAAUUCCAGGUGUAGCGGUGAAAUGCGUAUAGAUCUGGAGGAAUACCGAUGGCGAAGGCAGCCAUCUGGCCUAAUACUGACGCUGAGGUACGAAAGCAUGGGGAGCAAACAGGAUUAGAGACCCCGGUAGUCCCUGUCUCUUAUAC